rnacentral:rRNA from 1 species
UACGGAGGAUGCAAGCGUUAUCCGGAAUGAUUGGGCGUAAAGCGUCCGCAGGUGGCAAUGUAAGUCUGUUGUCAAAGCGUCUGGCUCAACCAGAUAAAGGCAGUGGAAACUACAUAGCUAGAGUAAGGUAGGGGUAGAGGGAAUUCCUGGUGUAGCGGUGAAAUGCGUAGAGAUCAGGAAGAACACCGGUGGCGAAAGCGCUCUGCUGGACCUUAACUGACACUGAGGGACGAAAGCUAGGGGAGCGAAUGGG